AGUAAACUAACUAAACCAUUCAUACAUUGUAUCUUGAUUACUUUAAAUCAAAUACAAAGCUUACCAUUUAUUUACACAUAUUCUUUAAUACAUUCUUUAACAUAGAUACAUUGCCAUCUCUCAAAUGAAUAAAUUUACAUUUGCUUUCAUCAACUACAAAUAGAUGAAAUAUACAAGGUACAACUAUACUCAAUGGAUGUCGCUAUCUAUCGAGCACUGUCCCUAUCAUGACCCUCGACCACCAUACACGAGUUAGAGCCUGCAUGGUUAGUGGAGUGAGAACUACUGAAAAUUUUCAGUGGGUUCGACUGCCGACCUCGCCGACUCACCCACUAGGUUUACUCAGGCAUAUGUAGGUAAAAAAAGAGAACAGAUAGUAACCAACUAUACCAUGUAACUACUACAAUGCCUAUAUAAAGCUGGAAAGAACAAUAUAUAACACAUGAGAUUUAUGCAUGCAUGCUCUUAAUACCAAUACUAUUACCCAAUCAAUUUAGUUAACCCCAUAAUUAACUGCAACUCACUAAUUAAAUCCCUUUUUGUCGG
rnacentral:lncRNA from 1 species